UAAUGCACUCUGUUUACAGCGCGAUUUUGGCACAAGCCACCAUAGCGUAGCGAAAGCAGACGCAGGCGCAUAGUUGCCCAAACAGUCGUUGACGUCAGGAGCGGUGGGCGGGCUUGAUUGUGCGCUUCCGCUAGGAAGAGGACUGUGAUCAUGGACGAAUUCGCUCUGGGCUGAUCGGCAGGCUCAACAUGGGAGCUUCUGGGGGCCUCCCGUAAGCGCACCUUAUUUUCCUCUGUCCACACGGCCAUACCAGGAAAGGUGAACAAGGACAGUAAUGGGCGAGCACAUACCGGUGCUUCUAGUCACGGCCAACGUAGGAUCCAUCUUUGAAGAGCCUCGAACACUUUUGCCGGGAUGGAUAGGCGAGUUCCUUCGGACGGUGAAGCAGUAUCAGCCCAGUUUUUUGGCUCUACAUUGUCAAGAAGUAGGUGGGAAAAACUACGAAAGAACCAUGCCCCACGUUUCCGACUUCAUCAGAACUCUCAUGGGCAGCGAGGAGCUCUCAAGUUACACAGCAGUCCAAGUGUUCUUGGAUGAGGACUUCUCCUGUGUAGAAAAAUUUACGGCCCUGGGCAACUUGUACUUUGUCCAUCAGUCAUUGAAAAACCCCCAGAUCUGGGAUUUUCAAGAGUGCUGCUUUCGACCAGUCAUGACAAAGGAGAUUCAUUCUGGAAACAUAGAGAAGGUGUUCACCAAAGAAAAGGUUAAGUUUCCCCAGGAACUUUUUCCAGAGUGCAAGUGGUCAAGAAAAGGCUUUAUGCGAACGAGGUGGAGCUUGCAAGGCACAAUAUUUGACCUAAUCAAUAUCCAUCUUUUUCAUGAUGAAUCAAACUUCAUAGCCAUGGAAUGUUUCCCGUCUUCUUACACAAAAAAUAGACAAGGAGCACUUGACUACACUCUGAACAGGAUCCAGAAUGACAAGUAUGAAAAUGUUCCAUUUUUCAUCUUUGGAGACUUCAAUUUUAGACUUGACACGCAGGCCGUUAUAGAGAAAGUUACAGAUAAGGCACCUCCAGUUCAAGUGAAAAGUGCCAAAAAUGGAGAUGUCACAAAAGUUCUCUUCAGGGAUCCUAAAGAUGAAAAUAAGGUCGUGCUUACAGUGGAAAGAAAAGUAUUCUCUCUUCAAGACCAUGAGGAGGCUUUCUACCGAAAUGAUGGAAAAUGGCUCCAAGAGCAUGACAAAGAACCGAGCCUGUUCCAGGACCGUCUUUUUGAAUUCGACAUUGCCUUCCCACCAAGCUAUCCAUUCAAAGAGGAGUCCUCGGGUCCCCGCAGUUACAUGCGGACACGCUGUCCUGCCUGGUGUGACCGCAUUUUGCUCAGCAAGUCGGCCAAGACCCUGGUGUACACGGGCCCUGACGAAGGUGGAAAGGCAUCUGUGGUGUAUCACAUAAUGGGGCCGAAUGUGUGCAUGGGAGACCACAAGCCUGUGGUGCUGUGGUUCCGCAUGGUCCCUGCUGCAGCAUUAUGUUUGCUUUAAACGUGGUAGUUGGAGUUUUUCAUCGUGUCUAGGUGCAUGAGGCCUCUAGUCAACAACCCAGUCAGAACAGGUUUGACAUGCCCUUUUGUUUUGACUACAGCCAUUGAGGUGACCUGCAGCAUAUGCUUAGGCAUGCUUUGUCAUGAAGAUGUGCUUGGGAUCACAGCAUUAGCCGUGUCAGAAGCCGGCCCUGGAGGAAGCAGCCACCCGUUACAUCCAGGUCAAGGUUCCAGGCUCACCUGUGCGCAUCUUCCGAGAAACCACCGUGUGAACUUGCCACU
rnacentral:misc_RNA from 1 species